rnacentral:rRNA from 1 species
CCAAUAGCGUAUAUUAAAGUUGUUGCAGUUAAAAAGCUCGUAGUUGAAUUUCGGGGUCAGUGCGUCGGUCGUGCCUUCGGUACGUACUAACGUUAUUGAUUCCUACCUUCUGACGAACCGUGAUGUCAUUAAUUUGGUGUUACGGGGAAUCAGGACUGUUACCUUGAAAAAAUUAGCGUGUUUAAAGCAGGCCAAAGCUUGAAUAAAUUAGCAUGGAAUAAUGAAAUAGGACGUUUGACCCUAUUUUGUUGGUUUCUAGGAUCGACGUAAUGAUUAAUAGGGAUAGUUGGGGGCAUUAGUAUUCAAUUGUCAGAGGUGAAAUUCUUGGAUUUAUUGAAGACUAACUACUGCGAAAGCAUUUGCCAAGGAUGUUUUCAUUAAUCAAGAACGAAAGUUAGGGGAUCGAAGACGAUCAGAUACCGUCGUAGUCUUAACCAUAAACUAUGCCGACUAGGGAUCGGAUGAUGUUAAUUUUAUAAUGACUCAUUCGGCGCCUUACG